rnacentral:lncRNA from 1 species
AAAGAAACCCAAUAAGGAAAUAGAAACCCAAUAAGGAAAUAGAAACCCAAUAAGGAAAUAGAAACCGAAAAAGGAAAUGAACAUUGAAAAAGGAAAAAGAAACCGAAUAAGGAAAUGGAAAUUGAAUAAGGAAAUGGAAAUCGAAUAAGGAAAAGAAAAUCCAAUAAGGAAAUAGAAACCGAAAAAGGAAAUGAACAUUGAAAAAGGAAAAAGAAACCGAAUAAGGAAAUGAAAAUCGAAUAAGGAAAUGGAAAUCGAAUAAGGAAAUAGAAACUGUAUAAGGAAAUGAAAAUCGAAUAAGGAAAAAGAAACCGAAUAAGGAAACGAAAAAAAAAUUUGAAAACACUUUUUGAGGAAAAAAAAAUUUGAGG